UUCCGGUUGAUCCUGCCGAAGGUUACUGCUAUUGGAGUUCGAUUAAGCCAUGCGAGUCUAAGGGGUACUUGUACCCUGGCGGAAUGCUCAGUAACACGUGGACAAUCUGCCCUCGGGUGGGGGAUAAACCCGCGAAAGUGGGGCCAAUACCCCACAGGCACAGGAGGCUGGAAUGCAUCUGUGCCCAAAGCUCCGGCGCCCGAGGAUGAGUCUGCGGCCUAUCAGGUAGUAGUCAGGGUAGCGACCUGACUAGCCAGCGACGGGUACGGGCCUUGAGAGAGGUCGCCCGGAGAUGGACUCUGAGACACGAGUCCAGGCCCUACGGGGCGCAGCAGGCGCGAAAACUUCGCAAUGCAGGAAACUGUGACGAGGGAACUCCAAGUGUCCAUGCAUUGCAUGGACUGUUUGUCAGCCUAAAAAGCUGUCAAAGAAAGGAGUGGGAAAGACCGGUGCCAGCCGCCGCGGUAACACCGGCACUUCAAGUGGUAGCCACUAUUAUUGGGCCUAAAGCGUUCGUAGCCGGCUUGGUUAAUUCCUGGGCAAAUCGUACCGCUCAACGGUGCGGAUUCCGGGGACACUGCCAGGCUUGAGACCGGGGGAGAUCAGAGGAACUUGCGGGGGAGCGGUGAAAUGUUGUAAUCCCGCAGGGACCACCAAUGGCGAAGGCAUCUGAUCAAAACGGCUCUGACGGUGAGGGACGAAACCCUGGGGCGCAAACGGGAUUAGAUACCCCGUAGUCCAGGGCGUAAACGCUGCUGACUUGGUGUUGGGGGUCCUGCGAGGGCGUCCAGUGCCGGCGCGAAGGCAUUUAGUCAGCCGCCUGGGGAGUACGGUCGCAAGACUGAAACUUAAAGGAAUUGGCGGGGGAGCACUGCAACGGGUGGAGCGUGCGGUUUAAUUGGAUUCAACGCCGGAAAACUCACCGGGGGCGACGAUUACAUGAAGGCCAGGCUGAUGACCUUGCCUGAUUUUUCGAGAGGUGGUGCAUGGCCGCCGUCAGUUCGUACCGUAAGGCGUUCUGUUAAGUCAGAUAACGAACGAGACCCUCAUCGCCAUUUGCUAGGCUCUUCUCCGGAAGGGUUGCACUAUGGCGAUACCGCCACUGCUGAAGUGGAGGAAGGAGGGGGCAACGGUAGGUCAGUAUGCCCCGAAUCUCCCGGGCUACACGCGCGCUACAAAGGGCAGGACAAUGGGCUUCGACGCCGAAAGGCGGAGGCAAUCCCGAAACCUGCUCGUACUUCGGAUUGAGGGCUGCAAUUCGCCCUCAUGAAGCUGGAAUCCGUAGUAAUCGCGGGUCAACAUCCCGCGGUGAAUAUGCCCCUGCUCCUUGCACACACCGCCCGUCAAACCACCUUAGUUGGGUCUGGACGAGGGCUCGCCUUCUGGCGCGCUCGAAUCUGGGUUCAGCGAGGAGGGUUAAGUCGUAACAAGGUAGCC
rnacentral:rRNA from 1 species